GGGAAUGUGGCUCAAGUGGAAAAGCACCUGCCUAGAAAGCAUGAGGCCCUGAGUUCAAAACUCAGUGCUGCCA
rnacentral:tRNA from 1 species